UACGUAGGGUGCAAGCGUUAAUCGGAAUUACUGGGCGUAAAGCGUGCGCAGGCGGUUUUGUAAGUCUGAUGUGAAAUCCCCGGGCUCAACCGUGGAAUUGCAUUGGAGACUGCAAGGCUGGAAUCUGGCAGAGGGGGGUAGAAUUCCACGUGUAGCAGUGAAAUGCGUAGAGAUGUGGAGGAACACCGAUGGCGAAGGCAGCCCCCUGGGUCAAGAUUGACGCUCAUGCACGAAAGCGUGGGGAGCAAACAGG
rnacentral:rRNA from 1 species